CAAAGACAUAGCCCUAGAUAAAAUCUAAGGUGUAACCUGCCCAGUGGUUUAAAAGUAAAAAAGAUAAAAUCUUUGUAAUUAAACUAAAAGGACGCGGUAACCUUGACCGUGGUAAUGUAGCAUAAUCACUCGCCAUUUAAUUGAUGGAUAGUAUGAAUGGUUGAACGAAUAUUUCACUGUCUUAAAAAGAAUCAAAUAAAAUUAAAUUAAUAGUUAAGAUGCUAUUUAAAAUUGUAAGACGAAAAGACCCUAUAGAGCUUAACUAUAAUUUUCUUAUAAAAAAGGAAAUAAAAAUUCCCUAUUUAAGAAAAUUGGUAGUUUAGUUGGGGCGACUACCUUCUAUAAAAAACGAAGGUAAGCAAAGUUAAUAAUAAACUUAUUAUAUAAGUAAAAACUUUAAUAAUUAUCAAAGUAGGCUAUAAUGACCCGUUAAUACUUAGAAAACAAAUUAACGAUUAAUUAAUAAAAGCUACCUUAGGGAUAACAGGAUAAUUUUAUUUUAGAGUCCAUAUCGAAAAUAAAGUUUGUCACCUCUAUGUUGAAUUAAGAUAUCCUGAUAAUGCAGAAGUUAUCAAAGGUAGGUCUGUUCGACCUUUAAAAUCUUACAUGAUUUGAGUUCAUUCCGUCGCAAGACAGGAAGGUUUCUAUCUU
rnacentral:rRNA from 1 species